ensembl:lncRNA
GCCAGGUGCUCCUAUAUCACGCCAGGUGAUGCUGUGUCACGCCAGGCGAUACUAUAUCACGCCAGGCGAUACUAUAUCACGCCAGGCGACACUAUAUCACGCCAGGCGACACUAUAUCACGCCAGGCGACACUAUAUCACGCCAGGCGACACUAUAUCACGCCAGGCGGCGCUGUGUCACGCCAGGCGAUACUAUAUCACGCCAGGCGGCGCUCCUAUAUCACGCCAGGCGAUACUAUAUCACGCCAGGCGGCGCUCCUAUAUCACGCCAGGCGACACUAUAUCACGCCAGGCGAUACUAUAUCACGCCAGGUGCUCCUAUAUCACGCCAGGCGGCGCUGUGUCACGCCAGGCGUUACUAUAUCACGCCAGGCGGCGCUCCUAUAUCACACCAGGCGAUACUAUAUCACGCCAGGUGCUCCUAUAUCACGCCAGGCGGCGCUGUGUCACGCCAGGCGAUACUAUAUCACGCCAGGCGGCGCUCCUAUAUCACGCCAGGCGGCGCUGUGUCACGCCAGGCGAUACUAUAUCACGCCAGGCGGCGCUGUGUCACGCUAGGUGAUACUAUAUCACGCCAG